AGUUAAUGAACUUGAAUAAGUAUAUGUUUUGAAAACAUAAAAUAGUAUUUAAAUAUACUAUUAACUU
rnacentral:tRNA from 1 species